rnacentral:tRNA from 2 species
GUUUUUAUAGUUUAAAAUAAAACAUUGGUCUUGUAAAUCAAAAAUAAAUUAUUAUUUUAAAAACU